CAGUCAGGAUCAGGGAUGCAAUGUGCUACAAAAUGAUGAAGAACGCAGCUGGCUGCGAGAAUUAAUGUGAAUUGCAGGACACAUUGAUCAUCGACACUUCCAACAUACUUGCGGCCCUGGGUUCCUCCUAGGGCUACACCUGGCUGAGCGUUG
ensembl:rRNA 5_8S_rRNA 5.8S ribosomal RNA